rnacentral:rRNA from 1 species
GACGAACGCUGGCGGCGUGCCUAAUACAUGCAAGUCGAACGCAGUGGGGACGGGUGCGUAACACGUGGGUAACCUCCCAUCAGAGGAGAUAACACUUGGCAACAGGUGCUAAACCGAUACUGAUGGAUGGAACCGCGGUGCAUUAGCUAGAUGGGGCGGUAACGGCUCACCAAGGCCACGAUGCAUAGUCGGCUGGAGAGGUGGGUCCGCCACACUGGGACUGAGACAAGGCCCAGACUCCUACGGUGGGCAGGAGUAGGGGAUCAUCGGCAAUGGACGAAAGUCUUGCAGAUCAACGCCCCGUGAGUGAAGAAGGUUUUCGGAUCGUAAAGCUCUGUUGUUAGAGAAGCGGUAUCUAACCAGAAAGCCACGGCUAACUACGGGCCAGCAGCCGCGGUAAUAC